rnacentral:rRNA from 1 species
CGUCUUACCGAAGCAACUAUCCGAAGCCAACCUGAGAGGGCGAUCGGCCACGUUGAACCUGAGACACGGUCCAAACUCAUACGCCAGGCUCCUACGGGAAGUAUUGCACAAUGGUCUAGAACCUGAUGCCGAAACUCCGCGCGAGCGAUGAUGGGCUUCCGAUCAAAAAGCUCUGACCGCAAGGAGCAUACUGACGGUACUUGAUGAGGAACCCCCCCCUAACUACAUGCCACCACUCGCUACAAUACAUAAGGCGCUAGCGUUCUCCUGAAUUACUGGGCAUACAGAGUGCUUAGGCGGUCUUUCCAGCCAGAAGUGAAAGGCUACCGCUCGACCGUAUGAAGCUUUUGGAUCUGUAUUACUUGAGAGCCUGAGAGGAUAGAGGACUUCCUAGUGUAGCGGAGAUAUGCGUAUAUAUUAGGAGG